rnacentral:rRNA from 1 species
GGCCGGGAGCAGACAACAGGGAUUGCCCCAGUAACGGCGAGUGAAGCGGCAACAGCUCAAAUUUGAAAUCUGGCCCCUUGGGGUCCGAGUUGUAAUUUGUAGAGGAUGCUUUUGAUGAGGCGCCGCCUGAGUUCCCUGGAACGGGACGCCAUAGAGGGUGAGAGCCCCGUCUGGCUGGCCGCCGAGUCUCUGUAAAGCUCCUUCGACGAGUCGAGUAGUUUGGGAAUGCUGCUCAAAAUGGGAGGUAUAUGUCUUCUAAAGCUAAAUACCGGCCAGAGACCGAUAGCGCACAAGUAGAGUGAUCGAAAGAUGAAAAGCACUUUGAAAAGAGGGUUAAAUAGUACGUGAAAUUGUUGAAAGGGAAGCACUUGUGACCAGACUUGGGCUUGGCGAAUCAUCCGGCGUUCUCGCCGGUGCACUUUGCCUCGUCCAGGCCAGCAUCAGUUCGUCGCGGGGGACAAAGGCUUCGGGAACGUGGCUCCUCCGGGAGUGUUAUAGCCCGCUGCGUAAUACCCUGCGGUGGACUGAGGUUCGCGCAUCUGCAAGGAUGCUGGCGUAAUGGUCAUCAGUGACCCGUCUUGAAACACGGACCAAGGAGUCGUCUUCGUAUGCGAGUGUUCGGGUGUCAAACCCCUACGCGUAAUGAAAGUGAACGCAGGUGAGAGCUUCGGCGCAUCAUCGACCGAUCCUGAUGUUCUCGGAUGGAUUUGAGUAAGAGCAUACGGGGCCGGACCCGAAAGAAGGUGAACUAUGCCUGUAUAGGGUGAAGCCAGAGGAAACUCUGGUGGAGGCUCGCAGCGGUUCUGACGUGCAAAUCGAUCGUCAAAUAUGGGCAUGGGGGCGAAAGACUAAUCGAACCUUCUAGUAGCUGGUUUCCGCCGAAGUUUCCCUCAGGAUAGCAGUGUUGAUCUCAGUUUUAUGAGGUAAAGCGAAUGAUUAGGGACCCGGGGGCGCUAUUUAGCCUUCAUCCAUUCUCAAA